UGCCAAGUAGCUGGAUUACAGGCACGUGC
rnacentral:piRNA from 1 species